rnacentral:lncRNA from 1 species
AAAAAAAAACAAAAAAAAAAAUCAACCCUAAUUUUGUAAUAAAAAUAAAAUCCUCGUUUCUCUCUAAAACGGUGCUGUGCUCCACUCUCUCUGAUCUCUCUUGCGGUUAACCACCACCGCCUCUCUCGCUGUUAACCUCCGUCAUCUCUCCAUUCUUGCCGGUUGUCGCAGUGGUAAGUCAUCGUUCUUCUUUUUUUUUCUCCAUGUUCAUCUAUUCUAACCUCAUCUUAUGAAUUAUCAGAAAUUUUUUUCUUUACUUUUCCGGUGAAAAGAGAUGAAGGCAAGAUCUCCCAUUUGUCCUCUUUAUUCAAUCUAUCCCAAAGAUCCAGUCCCAAAAUCCUCAGUUAACUCUCAGAUCUGCGCACAUCAUCUUCUCCGGUGAAAAUCUGAUGUAUUUUGGUUCCAUGUUCUCCGUCUUAUUACCACCAGAUCCAACAGCUCAUGGCCUCUGCCUCCGCCGUUCAACACAUCUAACGGCCGAAUCUUUCAGAUCUGCAGCAUGUUUCUCAUAUUCUGACCAUUGGUUUAAUCUUCGUCGUCAUGGAUCUGAUGGAUCUCUCACCAAUUAUUUUCCAUUGGCAGUGUCUUGUCCUGUAUAUGUUUGAUUUGUAUUGUCUUUAUUGAAUAUUCUUGUUUCCAUAGUCAUAAAGAUAUUCCUUGUGCAUAUAGAAACUAUUUGAUUUUUAUUGAUUACUAAAUCUUGGUUUUUGAAGCUUCUUUGUUGAUAUAGAUAUUUAAUAUUUAAGAAGAUUUUUUAUUAUACUUGUGUACUUCAUUUUCUCUUCAGGUAGCUUGAAGAUGAAGAGGAAAGACGUGAUUGCUGAAGGUGUCCUAGAAAAUGACUUAUCAGAUUCUUAAAAUUUACCCUCGUAAAUUUCAUGGUUAAUUUUUUAAUUUCAUUGUUAAUUUUUUAAUUACAAGAUCCAAGUGCAAGCUUCAUCACUGGCUUUCGGAUCUGUAUGGUCUUGGAUUAUGCCCACAAGACUGCCUGGAGCGAUGUCGUUAGUCAUUCAUCCUUCAAAAAGAAUAGGCUUAAGCUUCCCCGUACAUGGUUGCCACACAUAAAAUUU